rnacentral:rRNA from 1 species
CCUAGGGGAGGCAGCAGUGAGGAAUAUUGGUCAAUGGGCGUGAGCCUGAACCAGCCAAGUCGCGUGAGGGAAGACGGUCCUAUGGAUUGUAAACCUCUUUUGCCGGGGAGCAAAAAGCGGUACGUGUAGCGUUAUCGAGAGUACCUGAAGAAAAAGCAUCGGCUAACUCCGUGCCAGCAGCCGCGGUAAUACGGAGGAUGCGAGCGUUAUCCGGAUUUAUUGGGUUUAAAGGGUGCGUAGGCGGAAUGCCAAGUCAGCGGUAAAAUCGCGGGGCUCAACCUCGCUCCGCCGUUGAAACUGGCGUUCUUGAGUGGGCGAGAAGUAUGCGGAAUGCGUGGUGUAGCGGUGAAAUGCAUAGAUAUCACGCAGAACUCCGAUUGCGAAGGCAGCAUACCGGCGCCCAACUGACGCUGAAGCACGAAAGCGUGGGUAUCGAACAGGAUUAGAUACCCGAGUAGUC